rnacentral:lncRNA from 1 species
UCAUUCUGUUGAUGUCACUUACCCUCGGCAAAAUAUUUACACAUCCUUAAAAACGCCAGAUUUGGGGAGGGGGGGCAGGGCGGGCCGCAAGUCGCCCUUCCAGCCCCAUCGCCGAGAUCUGGGCAGACCGAUAGGAGGGCGGUACGGCGGCGGGUGGCUCCAGCGGGCACAGGGUGAAGAUAUUUGAGAGACCACAGAGAGCAGGAAUUACUCUCAUCAGGACAGAGAGCAGGAGGAAUCCAGCUGUCCUGCGCGUUUCAAACCCCCUCAGGCCGCGGGUCUACAUAGCACUAAAGAACUCAAGGACUCAUGGACAUCAGUUCUUGGAAAUACUGCCCACUCUGCCACAACCAUCCCCUCCCUGUGAUAAACACUCCUGAAAGUAAAAGACAACAGAAAACAAGAGGCAACGGAGCAUUGAAAAUGUGAGCAUGGGAUUCAUUCAUUCAAAGGGAAAAUCUGCAAAGCGGCUGGCGCAGUGGAAUGCUCAAUAAAUAGUAGCUGUUGUUUUUUGUCCCUAUACUUUUAACAUGGAAAAACCAUGUGUACAAAAUAAUGUAUUGUUUAUUCACUGCUGAAAGAAAAAUAAUGAAAAGCCUUUACGUACUCCCUGCCCAAUACCUUUGAAACCUCUACGUGUCUGCUUCCUGACAGUGUCCUAUAUCUUGCCCCAGAAAACCAUUAUGCUGUUUUCAUUUUACAUAUGCAUAUGUGUGUGUGUUUAGCUUUGUUCUUGAACUUAAAAUAAAUGGAGCACAC